UCAAACUCCAGCUCAUCUGCAGACUUGUGAAUCAUAAUAAACUAGCAUUGUUUGAAGCCACAGAGUUUUAGAGUGAUUUGCAAUGUAGCAAUAAAUUAUGGAUACAGUCAUCCAUAACAACCCAGUACAGACUGAGCUUUGCCUGGAUCACUAUUUUCCCCUCCACUUUACCCCCUGCAGGGUCAGAUGAAAGUGAGAUCCAUACAUCCUUCUUCAGCAACUUGUGCCUCUGCUCUGCACCUCCCGCAAUUAACUACUGAAAAAAGAACACAGCUUCACAAAAGUGAGUUGAAGUGCAUAGCACAGAACCAUCA
rnacentral:lncRNA from 10 species